rnacentral:lncRNA from 1 species
GACCUGUCCUGUUCUAACACAUAUCCCAGAGGUCAUACAGUCAUAAAAGCAUCAUGGUCCUAUAGAUGGUCUGGUGUGAAACCUGGGAAUGGUGGUCAUUCAGAGUACUAUCGGAUAGAGUGAGUCACUCCACCCUGAGAAUCACAUAUCUGAGAGAAAGUCAACAAGUACAGGUAAAAAAUGUGAGAUUCAAAUACAAGGAUAUUUCAUUUCAAGCUCCACUAUAUGAUAACAUGUGUAUUCAUAUCAUCCACCUUUUUGUUGAACCUUUAGAGAAACAGACCUCAGUUAUGACUUCAGCUGAAGGAAUCACAGAUUAUCAUACUCCGUCUCUCUGUCUUCAUGUGGUUCAGGAAGGCCUCCAAAUCCACCUCUGACACAAGGGACACAGCAGACGAUGGACAGAUGUUAUUGAUACAUUUUAUGAUGAUGAGCUCCUACAUUUGCUCCAGUAUUAAAGUUGCCUUGCAGUGGCCACCACCACUCCUCCAGCCACAUCUGGAACUACAAGACAGACC